rnacentral:lncRNA from 1 species
UGGAAUCCAUCUCAGAAGUCAUGGCUUCUUGUCACUUCUCGAAGUUUAUACUCAUAAUAGCCUCCUCGUAUGUCUAAGGAUCAAUAUCAUUAACAUCCUCUCCUCUAAUAUGUCCUACAUAUCUCUCUGAAGUAUGAGAUACUCUACCAGACCUAAGUAAAGUCGGAACUUAUGUACUAGGUACCUAAACAAACUCGGGCUAUAGAGUGGUGCUUGAGCUAAGUUCUCCAACCUCA